UUUGUUUUAAUGUAUUUCAGAGAAUGUUUUGUCUUUAUAGUUAAUAACUUUGUUGUGUGGAUAGGCAUAUUAGUUCAAGUCUUUUAAUAGUUAUAGUGUACAAGCUAGAGGAGACCAAAGUGUCUUUACUUAUGGGAUCUCAGUUAUGACUUCUGAGUAGCUAAUACAACAAACACAAGGUUAGAAAGAACAACCCGUGUGCUAAGGGAAUGGACUGCGUUAGUCUAUAGAGAGGAGGAUUUUAUCUGUGGAUGAUGAGGUAAGAGAUCAUGUGAAGCAGAAAUUUGUGGAUGUGUCAAAAAAGUGUGAAUGUGACAGAAAUGAGAUUGAGGUGAAAUCAGACAUUCUUGGAGAACACAUGGAGAGCUUAUGUGGAAGUGGUUACUUCAGUCAAAUAAUCUGUUCAGAGAUCUGUAUAAAUCAGAGCACAGGAGCGGCUUGUGAAUUGUAAAGAGCCUUUUGUAAGACUGCAGAAAAGAUGAGCUGGCAGGUCUGCAGCUUAGUUACCCUCUGUGAAGUAGCUGUAAUGUUGGCUUAACCCAUGGCUGGAAGACUCUUCUGUUGACAGAAGGU